CAUGCAAGUCGAACGAGAAUCUACUGAAAGAGUUUUCGGACAAUGGAUGUAGAGGAAAGUGGCGGACGGGUGAGUAACGCGUGAGGAACCUGCCUUGAAGAGGGGGACAACAGUUGGAAACGACUGCUAAUACCGCAUGACGCAUAGAGGUCGCAUGAUCUUUAUGCCAAAGAUUUAUCGCUUCAAGAUGGCCUCGCGUCUGAUUAGCUGGUUGGCGGGGUAACGGCCCACCAAGGCGACGAUCAGUAGCCGGACUGAGAGGUUGAACGGCCACAUUGGGACUGAGAUACGGCCCAGACUCCUACGGGAGGCAGCAGUGGGGAAUAUUGGGCAAUGGGCGCAAGCCUGACCCAGCAACGCCGCGUGAAGGAAGAAGGCUUUCGGGUUGUAAACUUCUUUUAAGAGGGAAGAGCAGAAGACGGUACCUCUAGAAUAAGCCACGGCUAACUACGUGCCAGCAGCCGCGGUAAUACGUAGGUGGCAAGCGUUGUCCGGAUUUACUGGGUGUAAAGGGCGUGCAGCCGGGUCUGCAAGUCAGAUGUGAAAUCCAUGGGCUCAACCCAUGAACUGCAUUUGAAACUGUAGAUCUUGAGUGUCGGAGGGGCAAUCGGAAUUCCUAGUGUAGCGGUGAAA
rnacentral:rRNA from 1 species